rnacentral:rasiRNA from 1 species
CAGACCAUACAUUUACGGAAAACAU